AGCUGCAAUCAUACCAGCAUUAAGGCAUCGGAUUCCAUCAGAACUCCGCAGUUAAGCAUUAUUGGGCAAGAGUAGUAUUAGGAUAGGUGACCUCCUAGGAGGUCCUCGUAUUGCACCUC
rfam:Lupinus angustifolius cultivar Tanjil contig_1837, whole genome shotgun sequence.